GAUGAACGCUGGCGGCGUGCCUAAUACAUGCAAGUCGAGCGAACGGACGAGAAGCUUGCUUCUCUGAUGUUAGCGGCGGACGGGUGAGUAACACGUGGAUAACCUACCUAUAAGACUGGGAUAACUUCGGGAAACCGUAGCUAAUACCGGAUAAUAUUUUGAACCGCAUGGUUCAAAAGUGAAAGAAGGUCUUGCUGUCACUUAUAGAUGGAUCCGCGCUGCAUUAGCUAGUUGGUAAGGUAACGGCUUACCAAGGCAACGAUGCAUAGCCGACCUGAGAGGGUGAUCGGCCACACUGGAACUGAGACACGGUCCAGACUCCUACGGGAGGCAGCAGUAGGGAAUCUUCCGCAAUGGGCGAAAGCCUGACGGAGCAACUCCGCGUGAGUGAUGAAGGUCUUCGGAUCGUAAAACUCUGUUAUUAGGGAAGAACAUAUGUGUAAGUAACUGUGCACAUCUUGACGGUACCUAAUCAGAAAGCCACGGCUAACUACGUG
rnacentral:rRNA from 1 species